rnacentral:lncRNA from 1 species
UGGCAUGAAAUUCACUCGCUUAUCCGGAAUGAGCUACUGAGUUGGAGUACAGGAAAGAAGCACCACUUCUUUAUUGUCUUGAAACUCCGCUCUGAACCCGAAUCGUAGAACUCGGAUAUGAUAGAUUUCUCAUCUCAGGUUAAUCAAUUCAAUGAUCGACUUCUUUCUUUUUCUCAAUAUGAUUCUUCAAAGAUGCUAAAAUUGACUAUCUCAUGGAAGGGAGUGGGAUGUGAGAGAAAGUCUUACGAUCCAACUAUCUCUUGUACCCCCUAAUUGGCGCUGAGGAGUCUUCAUCUUGGCAUCCAUCGCCACUCCCCAUGCUGGUAAGAAAGGGGUCAACCCGGUGGCGCAUCAACGUUUUGAGCGAGUGAGAGCCUUGAACCAAGGCCGGGUGCUGUCGCAAUCCGCAGAAGUAGCUUCAAUCAAAGGUUGCGCAACUGCCAAUAAAGACAUUGCUCUACGACUCCUUAGAGGUUGGGGAGUGGAAGAAGAUUCAUCACUGGGCUGGACUUUAAGACCUUAGUUGAAAAUACCUUUCCUCAUUCAUG